rnacentral:rRNA from 1 species
UACGUAGGUGACAAGCGUUAUCCGGAAUUACUGGGCGUAAAGCGCACGCAGGCGGCGCAUUAAGUCUGAUGUGAAAUCUCCCGGCUUAACUGGGAGGGGUCAUUGGAAACUGAUGUGCUUGAGGCGGUGAGAGGGGUGUAGAAUUCCCGGUGUAGUGGUGGAAUGCGUAGAUAUCGGGAGGAAUACCAGUGGCGAAAGCGACACCCUGGCACUAGCCUGACGCUCAUGUGCGAAGGCGUGGGGAGCGAACGGG